AAAGAUUCAUGUUCGAAUUCUGCUUGUGAGGGAGCUAGAGAAGAAAUUCAGUGGAAAGGUGAUUCUUUUGGAUGAGAUCCAAGGGUGUCCACCGCCGAAAGCAGUGACUAAUCCCUUUCGCCGCGGGAGCUCUCCCAAAGGAGGUAAACGGCUGGCCACGAAAUGCGCUCCAUUCCCAUAGGCGGGGAUCGAACCCCCAACCACAUGGUUAAGGAAUGAGGUGAGCUACCACCACACCACAUCUCAUGGUUGGAAAGGUGAUUCUUUAAGUUCUUUGGUUCUCUGCCAUUUAUGAAAUCUAGAUUUAACCCAGACUGGGUUUUCUUCGUGAUGUUUUUCUGUAUUCUAGGCACUACAUUUUGCGCCUUAGAGUCAAGGAUAUUUUAUUUUUAUCUUUUAGGCCCUGUUUGGUGGGCUAGACUGUACAAGACUUUUUCAAUUAAAAUGGACUAUAAUCCUAGCUGUUGUUUGGUGAGCCUAAAUGCACUAUGGGACUGGUUAAGACUCAUAUUUUAAAUAGGAUACCAAUCCAGCGAACGAGGGUUUUGUAAACCCAAGUGGAACCAUGGGUUUCGAAGCCUCCGCCUCCGUCUUCUUUUCAUCGUCUUUCUUCUCUUCUUCUAUUCAUCUUUAUCUCUGAUGCUCCCAGGUUUAGAACGAAGCCUCUCUUCUCAGGCUUUGUGACUGAGCCUUGUCGACUUCGCAGGCUUUGUGACUGAAAUUGAAGCAAAAAUCAAGAGAGAAGAAUGAUUGUGUUGUUCGGUUUCGAUUCAUAGUUCUAUUGGGAAUGGAUUUCAAGUGAAGAUCAAAUUUUGAAGAUCUGGUUCGAACCACUUUUACUGAUUUCAUAUUGGUUUUCUUUGACUUUUGCUAUUUUUGGAUUUGAAUUUGAAGAGUGAGAGGAGAUAGCAAAGGGACUGGCUUUAAGAAAAUUGCAGAAUCAUUUGAAACUUCAAUGGCUUCAGGAGUGGAGAUUGGUGAAGACGGUGAUACCAACAAAGGCAGUAUAUUUGAAUGUAUUUUUGUGAAUUUUAGGACUAUUUUUAUGAUAUCUUCAUGUGAUUUCUUAUUUUUAA